rnacentral:rRNA from 1 species
CCUACGGGAGGCAGCAGUGGGGAAUAUUGCGCAAUGGGGGAAACCCUGACGCAGCAACGCCGCGUGAGUGAUGAAGGCCUUCGGGUUGUAAAGCUCUUUCGGCAGGAACGAAACGGCGGACUCUAACAUAGUCUGUCAAUGACGGUACCUGAAGAAGAAGCACCGGCUAACUACGUGCCAGCAGCCGCGGUAAUACGUAGGGUGCGAGCGUUAAUCGGAAUUACUGGGCGUAAAGCGUGCGCAGGCGGCUUUGUAAGACGGAUGUGAAAUCCCUGGGCUUAACCUAGGAACUGCGUUCGUGACUGCAAAGCUAGAGUGCGGCAGAGGGGGGUGGAAUUCCUGGUGUAGCAGUGAAAUGCGUAGAGAUCAGGAGGAACACCGAUGGCGAAGGCAGCCCCCUGGGUUGGCACUGACGCUCAGGCACGAAAGCGUGGGGAGCAAACAGGAUUAGAUACCCCUGUAGU